AACGAACGCUGGCGGCAGGCCUAACACAUGCAAGUCGAACGUGAAGCCACCUUCGGGUGGUGGAAAGUGGCAGACGGGUGAGUAACGCGUGGGAACGUGCCUUUCGGUUCGGAAUAACCCAGGGAAACUUGGGCUAAUACCGGAUACGCCCUUCGGGGGCAAGAUUUAUCGCCGAAAGAGCGGCCCGCGUCGGAUUAGCUAUUUGGUAGGGUAAUGGCCUACCAAGGCGACGAUCCGUAGCUGGUCUGAGAGGAUGACCAGCCACACUGGGACUGAGACACGGCCCAGACUCCUACGGGAGGCAGCAGUGGGGAAUAUUGGACAAUGGGCGAAAGCCUGAUCCAGCCAUGCCGCGUGGGUGAAGAAGGCCCUAGGGUUGUAAACCCCUUUCAGCGGGGAAGAUAAUGACGGUACCCGCAGAAGAAGCCCCGGCUAACUCCGUGCCAGCCGCCGCAGUAAAAC
rnacentral:rRNA from 1 species